GCCGGUUUGGCUCAGUGGAUAGAGCAUCGGCCUGCGGACUGAAGGGUCCCAGGUUCGAUUCCGGUAAAGGGCA
rfam:Myotis davidii contig65489, whole genome shotgun sequence.